rnacentral:rRNA from 1 species
AAUGAACGCUGGCGGCGUGCUUAACACAUGCAAGUCGAACGAGAAACCCCGGCUUGCCGGGGGAGUAAAGUGGCGCACGGGUGAGUAACGCGUGGGUAAUCUACCCUCGAAUUUGGGAUAACCCGCCGAAAGGCGGGCUAAUACCGGAUAAGACCACGGUGGUCUCGGCCACUGAGGUCAAAGAUGGCCUCUGCCUGCAAGCUGUCGUUUGAGGAUGAGCCCGCGUCCCAUUAGCUAGUUGGUGGGGUAAAAGCCUACCAAGGCGACGAUGGGUAGCUGGUCUGAGAGGAUGGCCAGCCACACUGGAACUGAAACACGGUCCAGACUCCUACGGGAGGCAG